CCCCGCCCCAGUCGCCAGGUUGGUGACACAGUUCCUCUAUCUCAUUUCGCGGGGAACCCACAAAGCCCAGGCGGAUACUGGCACAACCGAGGAUGGGAAAUUUGGAGUAGGAGAGCCAGGACCACAGGGAAUCUGCCCCCAGAAAGGGAGAUCGGGUCGCGACUCCCUACACGCCCCUCACCCCGCCCUAAUUUCCUAGUGUGAAGGCUGGGAGGAACCUCUUCGGUCCAUCUGAUUGGACAAAGUCCCCAAGCCAGACAGCGAGCUCGGGAGAAGGCAGGCGGGGGUGGUGAAUGGCGAGGGGCGGGGCCUGCGCCGGGGCCCGCCCGCCCUCCGGCCCAGGAAUAGGUCGGGCUCCCCCUGGCGGCCCCCGGCCCCCACUCCACGCCCCGGGCGCCCGGUGUCCUCAAUCCUCUACCCCACCUAGCACAGGUCGGUCUCCGCGGGCCGACUGACGGACGGACGGGCCGCAGAACGACCCGCCGCGGGCGCCCGGGCGGCAGGAGGGGGCGGGGAGGCGAGGACUGCAGCUUGAGGAGCAGGAGCAGGUGCUGUGGCGACGGGCGGGCGGGGCAGGGACGGAGCGGCGGGCGGGGGAGCGGCGCCGGCGUGCGUGCGGCGGGCGCGGGGCCGGGAGGCCGCCACUCCGAGUUGAGCCCCGCCGGGUCGCGCCGGGGCGAGGGGAUCUGGAGUGGGGCCGGGUGGACGGGCGACUCUGGAGGGCGCAGGAUCCCAAGGAGACAGAGAGGACGAGAGCUGGAGGGCGCAUCGCAAAUCGGCGAGAGCGCUUCGCGGGGUCGGGUAGGAAAAGAGGGAGCGUACCUGGAGGGGAGACCGUGUGAAACUGGAGCUUGGAGGGGAGCCCAGGGCAGAAAUGGGCCAGACAGGAGACACGGUGGACGUUGUGUGAGGUCUGGUCAGUCGGUAAGAUCCGGAGGUGUGACGUUCCCAGGUGGGAGAGGUGGGUUGAAAAGGAAGUGAAGCAGGGGCCAGGUGGAGGUGAGGAUGAGUCGAGUCUAGCUGGAGAGGCAUCUCAGAAGUAAGACCAGUGCAGACUGAGGGUGGUCCCAGGGCGGGAACCCCACAGUAGGGAGAAGGCUCAGUCAGGGGUUGUCCCCCUCCUCCAUGGGGGAGGCCUCU
ensembl:lncRNA